UAAGGGUUCCUGGGUCAAGCUGAUCUGCCCAGGGUAAGUCGGGACCUAAGGCGAGGCCGACAGGCGUAGUCGAUGGACAACCGGUUGAUAUUCCGGUACCCGCUUUGAAACGCCCAAUAUCGAAUCAGACGAUGCUAAGCCCGUGAAGCCGUUCCGGACCCUUCGGGGAAAGGAAAGUGGUGGAGCCGGUGACCCGGAUCUGUAGUAGGUAAGCGAUGGGGUGACGCAGGAAGGUAGUCCAGCCCGGGCGGUGGUAGUCCCGGGGUAAGGGUGUAGGCCGUGUGGUAGGCAAAUCCGUCACACAUUAAGGCUGAGACCUGAUGCCGAGCCGAUUGUGGUGAAGUGGAUGAUCCUAUGCUGUCGAGAAAAGCCUCUAGCGAGUUUCAUGGCGGCCCGUACCCUAAACCGACUCAGGUGGUCAGGUAGAGAAUACCGAGGCGUUCGGGUGAACUAUGGUUAAGGAACUCGGCAAAAUGCCCCCGUAACUUCGGGAGAAGGGGGGCCAUGUCUGGUGAGGGAAUUUACCUYCUGAGCUGGGUGUGGCCGCAGAGACCAGCGAGAAGCGACUGUUUACUAAAAACACAGGUCCGUGCGAAGCCGUAAGGCGAUGUAUACGGACUGACGCCUGCCCGGUGCUGGAACGUUAAGGGGACCGGUUAGC
rnacentral:rRNA from 1 species